UUGCUUUGGCAGCACAUAAACUGAAAUUGGAACGAUACAAAGAAGAUUAUCAUGGCCCCUGCAUGAGGAUGACAUGCAAAUUCGUGAAGUGGUCCAUAUUUUA